UACGAAGGGGGCUAGCGUUGCUCGGAAUCACUGGGCGUAAAGCGCACGUAGGCGGACUCUUAAGUCGGUGGUGAAAUCCUGGAGCUCAACUCCGGAACUGCCUUUUAGACUGCAUCGCUUGAAUCCAGGAGAGGUGAGUGGAAUUCCGAGUGUAGAGGUGAAAUUCGUAGAUAUUCGGAAGAACACCAGUGGCGAAGGCGGCUCACUGGACUGGUAUUGACGCUGAGGUGCGAAAGCGUGGGGAGCAAACAGGG
rnacentral:rRNA from 1 species